rnacentral:rRNA from 1 species
CACCUUCGGGUGAGCGGCAGACGGGUGAGUAACGCGUGGGAAUCUACCCAUCCCUACGGAAUAGCUCCGGGAAACUGGAAUUAAUACCGUAUACGCCCUACGGGGGAAAGAUUUAUCGGGGAUGGAUGAGCCCGCGUUGCAUUAGCUAGUUGGUGGGGUAAUGGCCUACCAAGGCGACGAUGCAUAGCUGGUCUGAGAGGAUGAUCAGCCACACUGGGACUGAGACACGGCCCAGACUCCUACGGGAGGCAGCAGUGGGGAAUAUUGGACAAUGGGCGCAAGCCUGAUCCAGCCAUGCCGCGUGAGUGAUGAAGGCCCUAGGGUUGUAAAGCUCUUUCAACGGUGAAGAUAAUGACGGUAGCCGUAGAAGAAGCCCCGGCUAACUUCGUGCCAGCAGCCGCGGUAAUACGAAGGGGGCUAGCGUUGUUCGGAAUUACUGGGCGUAAAGCGCACGUAGGCGGAUUGAUUAGUUGGGGGUGAAAUCCCAGGGCUCAACCCUGGAACUGCCUUCAAUACUGUCUGUCUAGAGGUCGAGAGAGGUGAGUGGAAUUCCGAGUGUAGAGGUGAAAUUCGUAGAUAUUCGGAGGAACACCAGUGGCGAAGGCGGCUCACUGGCUCGAUACUGACGCUGAGGUGCGAAAGCGUGGGG